AGCCACGCCCCCUCCUGUUGCUUUCCUCCAUUAGCAGCAGCCAGGCCAGCAACGCGCGCCCUGCGAGAUGUCUAAUUAUCCUCCUGUCUCCAGAGGGGCCUCCUUAUUGCGCCUUCAUUUCUCACCUUGGAUACAGUAUGGCAGGGUCCUGCAACGUCAACAGAGCCUGCCCUGCCUGGCAGCUUCUGCAACACUCAGUAUUUUCACCGAUCAUUCUGAUGGUUUGAUCACACAGUGAUGAGAAUGAGUUAGAGAAUGGAAGAAUAAUAUUUGGAUUUCAACACAAUAAUGAAAAUGCAGAGACUGCCUUUGACUUUUACAAGGUGAGAAAUGAUUUCACAUUUCCAUU